rnacentral:rRNA from 1 species
GUAGGAUGCGAGCGUUGUUCGGAAUUACUGGGCGUAAAGAGUACGUAGGCGGUUUGGUAAGUCUGCUAUUAAAGACCGGGGCUCAACUUCGGGAGUGUAGUGGAAACUGUCAGACUAGAGGACAAUAGAGGAAGUCGGAAUUCUCAGUGUAGCGGUGAAAUGCGUAGAUAUUGGGAAGAACACCAGUGGCGAAAGCGGACUUCUGGGUUGUUACUGACGCUGAGGUACGAAAGCGUGGGGAGCAAACGGGAUUAGAUACCCCGGUAGUCCACGCUGUAAACGAUGGAUACUAGGUGUAGCCGGUCUCGACCCCGGCUGUGCCGUAGCAAACGCAAUAAGUAUCCCGCCUGGGGAGUAUGGCCGCAAGGUUG